UUGUCCAAGCGGUAAUGAUAGUAUCUUGUACCUGAACCGGUGGCUCAGUUUUUCUAAGUAAUGGGGAAGAGGACUGAAACAUGCCACUGAAAGACUCUACUAAGACAAAAAGAUGGGCUGUCAAAAAGGUAGAGGAGGUAGGAUGGGCAGUUGGUCAGAUCUAGUAUGGAUCAUACAUGGACGGUAGUAUGAUUCAUCCUUGUUCUGUUAAGAUAUCUCUGAUAAGGGCUAUAGCUUAGUUCGGUAGAGCAACUCAUUUACACGUGUGGCAAUGCUUUUCAAAGGAGCUUAUUUUGCAAUGAACAUAACAGGGGUCAAGGUCGACCAGUGAGACGAUGGGGGAUAAGCUUCAUCGUCGAGAGGGAAACAGCCCGGAUCACCAGCUAAGGCCCCUAAAUGACCACUCAGUGAUAAAGGAGGUGGGGGUGCAAAGACAGCCAGGAGGUUUGCCUAGAAGCAGCCACCCUUUAAAGAGUGCGUAAUAGCUCACAGGUCGAGCACCCUUGCGCUGAAGAUGAACGGGGCUAAGCGAUCUGCCGAAGCUGUGGGAUGUCAAAAUGCAUCGGUAGGGGAGCAUUCCGCCUUAGAGGGAAGCAACCGCGAAAGCAGGGGUCGACGAAGUGGAAGCAAGAAGUUUGCUUGAGUAACGAAAACAUUGGCGAGAAUCCAAUGCCCCGAAAACCCAAGGUUUCCUCUGCAAGGUUCGUCCACGAAGGGUGAGUCGGGGCCUAAGAUCAGGCCGAAAGGCAUAGUCGAUGGACAACAUGUCAAUAUUCCUGUACUACCCCUUGUUGGUACUGAGGGAUGGAGGUGGCUAGAUUAGCCGAAAGAUGGUUAUAGGUUUAAGGACACAAGGUGACCCUGCUUUUCCAGGGUAAGAAGGGGUAGAGAAAAUGCCUCGAGCCGAGGUCCGAGUACCAAGCGCUGCAGCGCUGAAGUACGAGCCCCGUGGACUAGCGAUUGCUUCUCCACGAGGCUCAUACCAGGCGCAACGGCGCUGAAGUAUGUAACUGAUGCCAUACUCCCAGGCGCAACGACCUUCAACAAAAGGGUACCUAUACCCGAAACCGACACGGGUGGGUAGGUAGAGAAUACCUAGGGGCGCGAGACAACUCUCUCCAAGGAAGUCGGCAAAAUAGCCCCGUAACAUCGGGAGAAGGGGUGCCCCCUCACAAAAGGGGGCCGCAGUGACCAGGCCCGGGCGACUGUUUACCAAAAACACAGGUCUCCGCAAAGUCGUAAGACCAUGUAUGGGGGCUGACGCCUGCCCAGUGCCGGAAGGUCAAGGAAAUUGGUGUACUGAUGACAGGGAAGCCGGCAACCAAAGCCCCAGUGAAUGGCGGCCGUAACUAUAACGGUCCUAAGGUAGAGAAAUUCCUUGUUGGGUAAGUUCCGACCCACAUGAAAGCCGUAACGAUCUGGGCAUUAUCUCAGAGAGAGGCUGGGUGAACUAGACAUGUCUGUGAAGAUGCGGACUACCUGCACCUGGACAGAAAGACCCUAUGAAGCUUUACUAUUCCCUAGGAUUGGCUUUGGGCCUUUCCUGCGCAGCUUAGGUGGAAGGCGAAGAAGGCCCCUUCCGGGGGCCCUGAGCCAUCAGUGAGAUACCACUCUGGAAGAGCUCGGAUUCUAACCUUGUGUCAGACCCGUGGGCCAAGGGACAGUCUCAGGUAGACAGUUUCUAUGGGGCGUAGGCCUCCCAAAAAGUAACGGAGGCGUGCAAAGGUUUCCUCGGGCCAGACGGACUUUUGUGCUCGAGUGCAAAGGCAGAAGCUAGCUUGACUGGAAGACUCACCCGUCGAGCAGAGACGAAAGUCGGCCUUAGUGAUCCGACAGUGCCAAGUGGAAGGGCCGUCGUUCAACGGAUAAAAUUUACUCUAGGGAUAACAGGAUGAUCUUCCCCAAGAGUCCACAUCGACGGGAAGGUUUGGCACCUCGAUGUCGGCUCUUCACCACCUGGAGCUGUAGGUGGUUCCAAGGGUUGGGCUGUUCGCCCAUUAAUGCGGUACGUGAGCUAUGUUUAGAACCUCGUGAGAUAGUUCGGUCCAUAUCCGGUGUGGACGUUAGAGCAUUGACAGGACCUUUCCCUAGUGCGAGAGGACCGGGAAGGACACACCUCUGGUGUACCAGUUAUCGUGCCUACGGUAAACGCUGGGUAGCCAAGUGCGGAGAGGAUAACUGCUGAAAGCAAAUAAGUAGUAAGCCCACCCCAAGAUGAGUGCUCUCUCCUCUGACUUCCCUAUAGCCUCCCGUAUCACAGCCGAGACAACGACGGGUUCUCCAUCGAUACGGGGAUGGAGCGACAGAAGUAUGGAAAUAGGAUAAGGUAGCAGCGAGACGAGCCGUUUAAAUAGGUGUCAAGUGGAAGUGCAGUGAUGUAUGCAGCUGAGGCAUCCUAACGAACGAACGAUUUGAACCU
rnacentral:rRNA from 1 species